CCAAAGGCUCUUUUCAGAGCCACCAAAUUUCUCCUACGAGAACUGU
rfam:Ailuropoda melanoleuca scaffold2498_19, whole genome shotgun sequence.